AUAUUUGAAUUGUGCCUAGGUUAUUUAACGAGUAAAUAUAAAUUUGAUAGUUACCAAAAUAGAGAAGGUGGAAGUUCUUUGGAGCAUGGCAUUCUUUGGAUGAAUCAGUUUUGUGUACUACUCGUUAAGUUAAAGCCCUUAGUUGGUAAAUAGUGUAUGCCGAGUGGAAAUUGGCCAAGCACUUGAAGUUCUUGUCCGAACUUAAGCUUUAUAACAACGAAUGAGUUUUCAAUUCAUGACUGACUGAAAUUUUGAGGUGUUUCGUUAUGUCCAAAAUGCAUUGGGAUUUGAUGUUUAUAAACAUUAGUCUCUCUGUUUUAUCCCCUGCACCACGACGUCCAUCUGUCUGCCAUCUUCUUGCCACCUAUCUUAUAAAUUUCUCUGGCAAGAUCUGAUUAUUAUCUGCAAGUGCCUGGAAGGAGGUGAAGUUUACUGGUAGUCACCUGGACCUUGUUUUUGAAUGUUGAAUCCCUUGUAAACUGUAUUAAUUGAAAUUUGAAACACGUGAACUUUCGAUGAACCACGUGUAGAUCUUCUCUUCCGGAUUCAGAAUAUCUCUGUUUGCCAGCUAAUACAUUUAUUGCGCAGGACUUUAGCAAGAAGUGGAUCUGCACGUAACGCGCAAUAACAACUAGCCCAACUGCAAUAGCAAGGAGCUGUUCUGCGUAGACUUUGUAUUGGAUUCUUAGUUCACCUCAUUAUCUAAAAUUAUGGUUUUCAAGAUUGAUGUAAAACUUUGACAAGCAUGCCAAGGGGUCUUUGUCUGGCAAAAGGUAAAAUGUCAACAAAGCUGAAAGCCACUGGAAAACUUGGUGUGCUUCUAACUUAGAAUGUGUUCCUGAGGAUGUGGAAGUUUAACUAACCUUUUGGCAGAAUUAUUUCGAGUGGCAGUUGUUACGUUGUUUGUAUAGGAGUGUUGUUGGCAUUUCUUUUGCCCCACCUUUUAUCUUCUGUUUUUGCAGUCUAUAUUUGUAACCUGCAGCUAGUGUGUGUUAUAAUUCGGGUUUGUUGAUAUUUUUGUCAGAUAAACUUCAGAUUCUCCUGUUGUUUUCGUCUAUAGUUUUUAAAAUUAUUUAAUAAUUUCUUCGUAAAAUGAUAUUCACUUCCAAGAUUUCGACACGCAUGCGUACCAAAAACCAAG
rnacentral:lncRNA from 1 species